rnacentral:lncRNA from 7 species
AAGUGACUUGUCUAAAACAUCAGGAAUAAGAAUAAGGACCAGACUGUGGAAGCUGUGUGUGGUUUGGUGUAUAGGAUUUUGCUAAAUAUUGUCUAGUUAUCCACAUAAGUUUGACUUGUGACUAAAAAGCUAGAGUCUGAGCAGAAAAGUAACAGCUACAGGUCUCCAGUGAGUUCUACAAAGGAUACACCGACAAUUAAGACACUGUCCUGGGGUGUGGGAUGUAAAGAUGUGUGUCCUGCUUCAAUGAGCAUAAAUAGCUGGCUUGAUAUAGAUUCCUCUGAACUAUGCAUAGAGACUGGAUCUUCAGUCUGUCUGAGGCCAGAACAGCCCCUUAACCUGGAGGCAAUUGUCUAUUGGGCAGUGUACAAAUGGAAUAUCUGUAAUGGACUGGGCUGGAAUCCAUGUGGUGUCUGCUACCUGAAAUAGUGACAGUCCAUUAGAAACACACUUUCUACUUUUGGUGCCCAAUCAAGUCUCUGUUGACAAGUAAGUUGGCUUCAAUUUUGAGGGCUCAGCUUAGGAGUUCAUUAAUUGGCAAGACAAGAGUUGGUCACUAAAAAUAAAUCACCUGUUGGAGAAGAUUAAUGAAAGAGAAAUUAUAUUGUCCUGUCUUUUAAUGAGAUAAUGACCUUAGAGAAAUACCUUUGUUCUAAUUCUACUGAUAUCAGGAUAGUCAGAAUUGUGUUUGUUUUAACAAAGACCACCUGUAAUCUUAGUGAUUAUUAUUUAUGCAUGCAUGCAUGCAUGUAUCAUUCAUAGCAAGAAGCAGUGCAAUUCAGCAACAUCCAUUUAAAUGAUUAAAGCCCACGCUAGAUGUGCUC